rnacentral:rRNA from 1 species
CCUACGGGAGGCAGCAGUGGGGAAUAUUGCACAAUGGGGGGAACCUUGAUGCAGCAACGCCGCGUGGGUGAAGAAGUACUCCGGUAUGUAAAGCCCUGUCAGCAGGGAAGAAAAUGACGGUACCUGACCAAGAAGCCCCGGCUAACUACGUGCCAGCAGCCGCGGUCAUACGUAGGGGGCAAGCGUUAUCCGGAUUUACUGGGUGUAAGGGGAGCGUAGACGGGAAGGCAAGUCUGGAGUGAAAGCCCGUGGCCCAACCACGGGACUGCUUUGGAAACUGUGUUGCUGGAGUGCAGGAGGGGUAAGCGGAAUUCCUAGUGUAGCGGUGAAAUGCGUAGAUAUUAGGAAGAACACCGGUGGCGAAGGCGGCUUACUGGACUGUAACUGACGUUGAGGCUCGAAGGCGUGGGGAGCAAACAGGAUUAGAUACCCUGGUAGUC